UACGGAGGGGGCGAGCGUUAUUCGGAAUUAUUGGGCGUAAAGCGCGCGCAGGCGGUCCUUUAAGUCUGAUGUGAAAGCCCACGGCUCAACCGUGGAAGGUCAUUGGAAACUGGAGGACUUGAGUACAGAAGAGGAAAGCGGAAUUCCACGUGUAGCGGUGAAAUGCGUAGAGAUUUGGAGGAACACCAGUGGCGAAGGCGGCUUUCUGGUCUGUAACUGACGCUGAGGCGCGAAAGCGUGGGGAGCAAACGGG
rnacentral:rRNA from 1 species